rnacentral:rRNA from 1 species
UACAGAGGGUGCAAGCGUUAAUCGGAAUUACUGGGCGUAAAGCGCACGUAGGCGGAUAAGAAAGUUGGGUGUGAAAUCCCCGGGCUUAACCUGGGAACUGCAUUCAAAACUCCUUGUCUAGAGUAUGGUAGAGGAGAGUGGAAUUUCCGGUGUAGCGGUGAAAUGCGUAGAUAUCGGAAGGAACACCAGUGGCGAAGGCGACUCUCUGGACCAAUACUGACGCUGAGGUGCGAAAGCGUGGGGAGCAAAC